rnacentral:lncRNA from 1 species
UCAGACAUAACGCAGAGAAGUCCCCGAUUUUACACAUAUACCCUCGAGUCAAGGAAAAGGAUACAGCCGAGCCCUUGGGCGAGGCGGAAAAAAGGGUCGACGAAACAGACGGGGUCGGGCGAGACGGAGAAAGCGGUCGGACGAACGGAUAGGGUCGGGCGAGGCGGAAAAGGGGUUGGACGGACAGACAGGGUCGGGCGAGGCGGAAAAGGGGUCGGGCG